rnacentral:rRNA from 1 species
AUUACAGAGCGUGAGGCUCAGUCGUGGCAUCUGCCGCGUGCUGGGCCGACCCUCCCACCCGUGUCGAUUUGUAUCUUGUUGCUUUGGCGGGCCGGGCCGCGUCGUCGCUGCUCCGCAAGGAUAUGCGUCGGCCGCCCACCGGUUUCGGCUGGAGCGCGCCCGCCAAAGACCCAACCAAAACUCAUGUUGUUUUUGUCGUCUCAGCUUUAUUAUUGAAAUUGAUAAAACUUUCAACAACGGAUCUCUUGGCUCUGGCAUCGAUGAAGAACGCAGCGAAAUGCGAUAAGUAAUGUGAAUUGCAGAAUUUAGUGAAUCAUCGAAUCUUUGAACGCACAUUGCGCCCCUUGGUAUUCCGAGGGGCAUGCCUGUUCGAGCGUCAUAACACCCCCUCCAGCUGCCUUUGUGUGGCUGCGGUGUUGGGGCUCGUCGCGAUGCGGCGGCCCUUAAAGACAGUGGCGGUCCCGGCGUGGGCUCUACGCGUAGUAACUUGUUUCUCGCGACAGAGUGACGACGGUGGCUUGCCAGAAUAAACCCACUUGCUCCAGUCACAUGGAUCACAGGUUGACCUCGAAUCAGGUAGGAAUACCCGCUGAACUUAAGCAUAUCAAUAAGCGGAGG